rnacentral:rRNA from 1 species
GUCUACAGCCAUGCCGCCCUGAACAAUCCUGAUCCUGUCUGAUCUCGGAAGAUAGGCAGGGUCGGGCCUAGUUAGUACUGGGAUGGGAGACCAUCUAGGAAGACCAGGUACUGUAGGCA